AUUGAACGCUGGCGGCAUGCCUUACACAUGCAAGUCGAACGGCAGCACGGGGGCAGCCCUGGUGGCGAGUGGCGAACGGGUGAGUAAUGCAUCGGAACGUGCCCAGUAGUGGGGGAUAACUAGUCGAAAGAUUAGCUAAUACCGCAUACGACCUAUGGGUGAAAGCGGGGGAUUCGCAAGAACCUCGCGCUAUUGGAGCGGCCGAUGUCUGAUUAGCAGUUGGUGGGGUAAAAGCCCACCAAGGCUUCGAUCAGUAGCUGGUCUGAGAGGACGACCAGCCACACUGGGACUGAGACACGGCCCAGACUCCUACGGGAGGCAGCAGUGGGGAAUUUUGGACAAUGGGCGCAAGCCUGAUCCAGCCAUGCCGCGUGCGGGAAGAAGGCCU
rnacentral:rRNA from 1 species